UACGGGGGGAGCAAGCGUUGUUCGGAUUUACUGGGCGUAAAGGGCGCGUAGGCGGCCACGACAAGUCACUUGUGAAAUCUCUCGGCUCAACCGAGAGCGGCCAAGUGAUACUGUCGGGCUAGAGUGCGGAAGGGGCAACUGGAAUUCUCGGUGUAGCGGUGAAAUGCGUAGAUAUCGAGAGGAACACCUGCGGCGAAGGCGGGUUGCUGGGCCGACACUGACGCUGAGGCGCGAAAGCUAGGGGAGCGAACGGG
rnacentral:rRNA from 1 species